AUUGAACGCUGGCGGCAGGCCUAACACAUGCAAGUCGAGCGGAUGAAGGGAGCUUGCUCCUGGAUUCAGCGGCGGACGGGUGAGUAAUGCCUAGGAAUCUGCCUGGUAGUGGGGGAUAACGUCCGGAAACGGGCGCUAAUACCGCAUACGUCCUGAGGGAGAAAGUGGGGGAUCUUCGGACCUCACGCUAUCAGAUGAGCCUAGGUCGGAUUAGCUAGUUGGUGGGGUAAAGGCCUACCAAGGCGACGAUCCGUAACUGGUCUGAGAGGAUGAUCAGUCACACUGGAACUGAGACACGGUCCAGACUCCUACGGGAGGCAGCAGUGGGGAAUAGUGGACAAUGGGCGAAAGCCUGGUCCAGCCAUGCCGCGUGUGUGAAGAAGGUCUUCGGAUUGUAAAGCACUUUAAGUUGGGAGGAAGGGCAGUAAGUUAAUACCUUGCUGUUUUGACGUUACCAACAGAAUAAGCACCGGCUAACUUCGUG
rnacentral:rRNA from 1 species